rnacentral:rRNA from 1 species
GAGAGGUGCUUGCACCUUUCAAGCGAGUGGCGAACGGGUGAGUAACACGUGGAUAACCUGCCUCAAGGCUGGGGAUAACAUUUGGAAACAGAUGCUAAUACCGAAUAAAACUUAGUAUCGCAUGAUAUCAAGUUAAAAGGCGCUACGGCGUCACCUAGAGAUGGAUCCGCGGUGCAUUAGUUAGUUGGUGGGGUAAAGGCUUACCAAGACGAUGAUGCAUAGCCGAGUUGAGAGACUGAUCGGCCACAUUGGGACUGAGACACGGCCCAAACUCCUACGGGAGGCUGCAGUAGGGAAUCUUCCACAAUGGGCGCAAGCCUGAUGGAGCAACGCCGCGUGUGUGAUGAAGGCUUUCGGGUCGUAAAGCACUGUUGUAUGGGAAGAAAUGCUAAAAUAGGGAAUGAUUUUAGUUUGACGGUACCAUACCAGAAAGGGACGGCUAAAUACGUGCCAGCAGCCGCGGUAAUACGUAUGUCCCGAGCGUUAUCCGGAUUUAUUGGGCGUAAAGCGAGCGCAGACGGUUGAUUAAGUCUGAUGUGAAAGCCCGGAGCUCAACUCCGGAAUGGCAUUGGAAACUGGUUAACUUGAGUGUUGUAGAGGUAAGUGGAACUCCAUGUGUAGCGGUGGAAUGCGUAGAUAUAUGGAAGAACACCAGUGGCGAAGGCGGCUUACUGGACAACAACUGACGUUGAGGCUCGAAAGUGUGGGUAGCAAACAGGAUUAGAUACCCUGGUAGUCCACACCGUAAACGAUGAAUACUAGGUGUUAGGAGGUUUCCGCCUCUUAGUGCCGAAGCUAACGCAUUAAGUAUUCCGCCUGGGGAGUACGACCGCAAGGUUGAAACUCAAAGGAAUUGACGGGGACCCGCACAAGCGGUGGAGCAUGUGGUUUAAUUCGAAGCAACGCGAAGAACCUUACCAGGUCUUGACAUCCUUUGAAGCUUUUAGAGAUAGAAGUGUUCUCUUCGGAGACAAAGUGACAGGUGGUGCAUGGUCGUCGUCAGCUCGUGUCGUGAGAUGUUGGGUUAAGUCCCGCAACGAGCGCAACCCUUAUUGUUAGUUGCCAGCAUUCAGUUGGGCACUCUAGCGAGACUGCCGGUGACAAACCGGAGGAAGGCGGGGACGACGUCAGAUCAUCAUGCCCCUUAUGACCUGGGCUACACACGUGCUACAAUGGCGUAUACAACGAGUUGCCAACCUGCGAAGGUGAGCUAAUCUCUUAAAGUACGUCUCAGUUCGGACUGCAGUCUGCAACUCGACUGCACGAAGUCGGAAUCGCUAGUAAUCGCGGAUCAGCACGCCGCGGUGAAUACGUUCCCGGGUCUUGUACACACCGCCCGUCACACCAUGGGAGUUUGUAAUGCCCAAAGCCGG